UGGCUAUAGGCAACUGUUAGUGGCAAACGGGUGAGUAAUGCGUACGAAUCUACCUAGUAGUACGGAAUAGCCAUUAGAAAUGAUGGGUAAUACUGUAUAAUCCCCGAGGGGGAAAGAUUUAUCGCUAUUAGAUGAGCCUACGUUAGAUUAGCUAGUUGGUAAGGUAAUGGCUUACCAAGGCUAUGAUCUAUAGCUGGUCUGAGAGGACGAUCAGCCACACUGGAACUGAGAUACGGUCCAGACUCCUACGGGAGGCAGCAGUGGGGAAUAUUGGACAAUGGGCGAAAGCCUGAUCCAGCUAUGCCGCGUGAGUGAAGAAGGCCUUCGGGUUGUAAAACUCUUUCAAUAGGGAAGAUAAUGACGGUACCUAUAGAAAAAGUCCCGGCAAACUC
rnacentral:rRNA from 1 species